rnacentral:lncRNA from 1 species
AGAUAGGAGUCAGGGCGCCUGGCCCGCAGGACACUAGAGAUCUGCGGAGGAGAAGGGAUGAGUCUGCCAGGCCCACCAGCCUGGCCCCCAGACCCUCCCCACCCCACACACGCAGACACGUCUUACAAGUCCUGUGAGAUAGGGGCUGCCAGCGUCUCCCAGGAUGUGGCCCACCGUGAUCUGAAGUGCCUCUGCCGUCCCCCGGCAUCUGGGCACCACCACAGACUGCAAAACAUAGGCACAGCAGGGGGGCACCCCAAGUGAGGGCACCCUUGCCUGCUGUUCCCCACCUGCCAAGGACCUGCCUGGAGGAGUGACAGGCCAUUCAGAAACCCCCCGAGAGGCAGGGGCUGCCCGAGGUAUGCAGAACGAGCUCCCCAUUGGAGGCGUAUGUCAACAAGGGGAUGGCUAGAAUUUGGCAAAGCAUUUAUGGACUGGGGAGCUUGCGGCGUGAGACCAGUGUUCUCAAAGCGUGCUCUACGGAAUGCUACGGCAGGAUCACUUGGGAAGUUCAUCAGAAAUGCAGGUCCCUGGACCCCAGCACGGACCCACUGAAUCAGACUCAGAGGACACAGGGCCUGGAAUCUGGGUUUGUCACAAGCUCCCUCAAAUCUGACUCUCAUGCACAAUGACGUCUCCAAGCCACCGGACCGGAGAGCCCCUGAGGUCCCUUCUCCAGAGAUAACCUGGAUUCUCCCCAUUGUGGAGAUGGCAUCAAAGAGAACAGUGUCCUGGACAGGCGCAGUGGCUCACACCUAUAAUCCCAGCAUUCUGGGAGGCCAAGGGGGGCGGAUCAUGAGGUCAAGAGAUCGAGACCAUCCUGGCCAACAUGGUGAACCCCGUCUCUACUAAAAAUACAAAAAUUAGCUGGGCGUGGUGGCGCAUGCCUGUAGUCCCAGCUAUUCAGGAGGCUGAGGCAGGAGAAUCGCUUGAACCCAGGAGGCAGAGGUCGCAGUGAGCUGAGAUCGCACCACUGCACUCCAGCCUGGCGACAGUGCGAGACUCCGUCUCAAAAGUAAAAAAAAAAAAAAAGAGAGAGAGAGAGCAGUGUCCCAAGGAAGGGAUGAUCUGGAAGUCAGUGGGGCCCACACGCCCACUCAGGAAUCUGCAGGACGCAGGUGUGAGUUCAUUCUAUCCUUAUAGCCUGGGGUGUCAAUGGUGGUUGCCACCGCUCUACCUACUGGACAGGUGAGCAAACCAAGACCCAGAGAGGUUCAGUCACUUGGCCAGGGUCACACAGCUAGUGAGGAGCCAGGCUGGGAGUGGGAGCAGAUGGGCUGCUGCAGAGUCCUCGAGCCUGGGCUCUGCUGCCCUCUGCCCUCUGACCUAACCCACAGGCUCCAACCACCCAGACACCUGCAGUUUCCACCCAUUUUCCUAUCAGCUCCUCGUGGCUUUCUUGGCCGCCCAAAGCUGUUCACGUGAACGUGCCCUGCCCUUAGCUUCCUGCUCCCUUGUUCUGUGGACCCUGUUCACACACACCCUAAGGCCUCCUCCCUCCCUGGGCCCCUGCUGAAAGAGAAGCCGAUCUCCUGUCUCAGGAGCCAGUGCCGGCCGGCAAAGGGGACCUUCCUCUACUUCCUGCCACAGACCCUGUCCCCACACACUUCCUGCCCCUGCUCUGCUGGGAGGCCACUUCCUCCCCCAGUGCUGGAUUCCACCCCCAGCUCACCCUCAAACAUGGCCCCCUCUCUCCUCCUGCUUGCCCCUCUCUGCUCCCUGGAGGCUGUUCUGUCCUCCCCUCUUGAAAAGCAAUGCCAGCUUCCUGGGAUCUUCUGCCAACUCCAGCUACCAUGCCCUUUGCUCCUGUCAGCUCAGCUCCUCAAGGGAAUUGUCUACCCUCGGUGUCCUGCUUCCCCUCCCUCACCCUCCUCACCCUGCUCCAAGCUGGCAGGCCAGGGAAGCUGUGGGGGCAGGUGCAGCUCUGUUUGGACCACCUCAGAGAGAACCAGCUAUGCUGGGGGGAUGUUAAUCUCCCUGAGCCUAAAAGUGGACAAUCCCAUGAAUAAAACAUUUGCCAAUGCC